GUUUUAGACUCCUACACAGUACAGGUUUAAAUGUUCUAGUGGUUUUAGACUCCUACACAGUACAGGUUUAAAUGUUCUAGUGGUUUUAGACUCCUACACAGUACAGGUUUAAAUGUUCUAGUGGUUUUAGAUUCCUACACAGUACAGGUUUAAAUGUUCUAGUGGUUUUAGAUUCCUAUACAGUACAGGUUUAAAUGUUGUAGUGGUUUUAGACUCCUACACAGUACAGGUUUAAAUGUUGUAGUGGUUUUAGACUCCUACACAGUACAGGUUUAAAUGUUCUAGUGGUUUUAGACUCCAACACAGUACAGGUUUAAAUGUUCUAGUGGUUUUAGACUCCUACACAGUACAGGUUUAAAUGUUCUAGUGGUUUUAGACUCCUACACAGUACAGGUUUAAAUGUUGUAGUGGUUUUAGACUCCUACACAGUACAGGUUUAAAUGUUGUAGUGUGGUUAGACUCCUACACAGUACAGGUUUAAAUGUUCUAGUGGUUUUAGACUCCUACACAGUACAGGUUUAAAUGUUCUAGUGGUUUUAGACUCCUACACAGUACAGGUUUAAAUGUUCUAGUGGUUUUAAACUCCUACACAGUACAGGUUUAAAUGUUGUAGUGGUUUUAGACUCCUACACAGUACAGGUUUAAAUGUUGUAGUGGUUUUAGACUCCUACACAGUACAGGUUUAAAUGUUCUAGUGGUUAUAGACUCCUACACAGUACAGGUUUACAUGUUCUAGUGGUUAUAGACUCCUACACAGUACAGGUUUAAAUGUUGUAGUGGUUUUAGACUCCUACACAGUACAGGUUUAAAUGUUCUAGUGGUUUUAGACUCCUACACAGUACAGGUUUAAAUGUUGUAGUGGUUUUAGACUCCUACACAGUACAGGUUUAAAUGUUGUAGUGGUUUUAGACUCCUACACAGUACA
rnacentral:lncRNA from 1 species